CUGCAGACAUCCUGGCUCUUCUAAUCAGGUCAGGCUGAACACCGACUGUAUUAACGGCAGGGAUGUGUCCCCAGACCUAGGUGUGGUAUUAUAAAUUCUGGUGAUAAAU
rnacentral:snoRNA from 1 species